rnacentral:lncRNA from 1 species
AGUCCCUUUAAAGAGUUUGAAUUUGCAUUUGCAUAGGAGAAAAUAUUCAAGAUGCCUUGAUAUUAUGAACAAGCCAAGAGGUUAAAUCUGAUACUAGAUCCAGGACUAUUUUUAACCCUGUGGAAAGUUGAGGCAUAGCAGAAGUCAAAUUAUAUAUUUUUCUGUCUCAAGAUAAUACUAAGCCUAUUUUCUAAAAUAUGUUCGUCUAUAAAAUUAUGUAAAUAUACAAUAUACACAAAUAUAGGUAAAAAAGAUUUUUUAGGCAAACUUUGAAAUGGGGCUUGAUUUUCGGACCAAAAUAAAUCCACUGUCUGAUGCUGGGUACAAAAACUGAAGAUAUUUUGUCUAGCAAGUAGCACCCUCACAUAGACUCGGACAGGUAUGAAAAAAACGUUAACAAUUUUAUUACUGGGUGGAUUUUAAAGUGCCAUAGCGCCUUGACUUUUGAUUUUACCCGCACUGACUUACUUAUACUAUUUUGUAGCCUUAAAUAUGCAUAUUUCAUAACUUUAUGCACGUGUUUUUUAACUUUAGUUUUGUAGAAAUAAUUGAAAAAAAUCUCAUCGUUUUUGCGUGAAAGACUUUAGGAUCACUCAGAAAUAAAUUUCUUUUGGCUUUAAAAAUUUUGAGAUAUUGUAGAUUUUGAAAAAAAAUCUUAUUUAUCUGGUGGUGAGGGGGAGGGGUGGUGUUACUCUUGAAAUAACUCUUCGUGUAAUAUUUAUAGAAGAGAAUAUUGUAUAAUAGCAAGGUUUACAUUAAGCAGUAGUGCCAAUAUUAAAGAUUAUACGGGUUGUAUCUUAGAUAUCUGCAUAUAAACCUAGAUUCAAGUUUAGAUACAGUUGUGCAUAGAUUACUUCAGGGUUCAGAGUUAUUCUUUUGUUUAAAUCACAGAGUGGGUUCUACACAUUUGUCUUUAGUUUUUAAGGGUCUGUUCCUGUAAUUUUACAUUCAAUUUAAAAAAGGGGCUUCGCUUACAAUGGUAGCUAAGGAUUAGAAUUGAAAUCUAGGAUUUUAAAUAAAUUCUAGGAUUAGAAUUAAAAUCUAGGGUUAGAAUUAAAAUCUAGGAUUUGAAUUUAAAUUACGGAUUAGAAUCUAGGAUGGGAAAGUAAAUCCCGGAUUAGAAUUAAAAUCUAGGAUUAAAAUCUAUAUCUAGGGUUAAAAAUAUGAUUUAAAUUAAAAUAUCCGACUAUGAUUGAAAUCUUGAAAUAAGGAUUUGAGGUUAAAAUGAUGAUUAUAGGUUAGAACCAGAAUGAAAGUUAAGAUAGAAAAGUAAAUAGAAAAAUAUCUUUCUUAGAUGAGGUCGUGCAGUGUACAGAUCUUCCCCAGGUUCAGGAUUAAUCAUUUUCAGAAAUCACGAACCAAAUUUGAGAAAAUCCGCGUAAACAUAUUAUCUCUUUUAGUUUUGGUAGAAACUACAUUUUUUAAAACUUUAUGAGGGACGAGGGAAAUUAAAAUGGGACGGGGAGAUUAAGUUUGCGGUUUCAGCGCACAGUGAUCCUAAGGUUGCAAGCUCGCAAAAUCUAUCAAAAUUUUGCCAAUAACUUUAAAGGUUUCAAAACACGAUGACAGUUACCCCAGAAGUCAAAGUAAGAUACGCUCCUGCACAUAUAAAACACACAGAUGCUGGACAGUGAACAAACAAUAUGAGACAGCGGAAUAUUUUCAAGAUGCAGAGCAGAAGAAGGUCACAGAUAGUAACAGAUGGAUCGAAGGAUAAAUCAGGAAUGAUCAGUAGGAAUCUAUUUAUCUUAAUAACACGAUAAAUAGCUUCUCAAUAAAAAAAUUUGUCGCUUUAAGAUGUUUUAUAUCAUAAGAAACUGCUCUACUCAAGUUUUCAAAUUGUUUUUUCUUUAAACAGAGCCCUUUGAUAUUCUUAUAAUAAUAAUUCUGCUGAUCAAAUAUAAAAUAGUCACAGUUGAAAAAGUUCCAAACGGUUAAAAGAGUAAACUUUUUCUUUAGACAUUUGUGUAUAACUUUUAAUGAUUCUGUAAAACUUGGACAAUUUUCUAAAUUUAAAA